rnacentral:lncRNA from 1 species
GUGAGGAAAUUAGUCCUCUGUGAGGUGACCAGUCCUCUGUGAGUUGUCCCAUUUUCAGUGAGGUGUCCAGGCCUCUGUCAGAUGAUCAGGCCUCUGUGAGGUGACCCAGUCCUCUUUGAGGUGUCCCGUCCUCUGUGAGGUGACAAGGCCUCUGUGAUUUGACCAGCCCUCUGUGUGUUGACCAGUCCUCUGUGGAGGUGUACCUUCUUUCCCAGCUGCCAUUCUGUUCCAUGGACGAUGCUGGCAAGUCCCAAACCCUCUCCAGCUAUCAAGAUGAACACCUUGCAGAAGAAAGAAGUCUGCCACCGAGAAAGACGACUGGACGGGGCAGCUGGGAAGGGUUCUUACCACCAAGCCUGAAGGCCCAAGUUUGAUCCCUAAAGCUCACACAGCAAAAGGAGUGGAACGGCUCCUGAAAGCAACCCUCUGACCUCCACCUUAUGUCUCCUUCACAAAGAAACAAAUCAAGAUAAAUAAAUAAAUGUAUGCAGUUUU